UUGUGGCCGUAUCAAGUUGAAACUCCGGUUCCCGUACGAUCACCAAAGUUAAGAAACGUCAAGCCUGGUCAGUAUCGAGAUGGGCGAUUGCUUGGGAAUGCCAAGUGCUGUAAG